rnacentral:rRNA from 1 species
AUUGAACGCUAGCGGGAUGCUUUACACAUGCAAGUCGAACGGCAGCGCGGACUUCGGUAUGGCGGCGAGUGGCGAACGGGUGAGUAAUGUAUCGGUACGUGACCAGUAGCGGGGGAUUACUACGCGAAAGCGUAGCUUAUUACGCAUAAGCCCUACUGGGCAAAGCAGGGGAUCGUAAAACCUUGUACUAUUUGAUCGUCCGUUAUCGGAUUAGCUAUUUGCUUGGUUAACGGCUCACCACGCCGACGAUCCGUAGCUGGUGUGAGAGGACGACCAGCGACCCUGGGACGGAGACACGGCCCAGGGUCCUACGGGAGGCACCAGAGGGGAAUGGUGGACAGUAGGGGCAACUCUGAUCCAACCAGCCCGCGUGUGCGAUGGAGGCCUUCGGGUUGUAAAGCACUUUUGGCAGGAAAGAAACGUCGCGGGCUAAUACCCCGAGGAACUGACGGUACCUGCAGAAUAAGCACCGGCUAACUACGUG